ensembl:lncRNA
GGUGAGAGGAGGGACAUCGCAGCAAGGGCCGCCCAGGGAGAGAGCCCCUGCACUGUCGCCAGGGAAACCCCGUGGCGUGGUUGUGUGUCAGUUUCGCUGGGACCCGCGGUCGAUGCCGGUGAGGAGGGGGAUGGGCGCCUCGGCGAAUGCAAGGACCCGAGACAGAAUCAGAGCCCUGUAUCACAUACAGCAGCAUAUACCCCAUUAUAAAUAGCGAUAGUAUAUACAAUACACAAAAAUACAUGGAUCUAUCCACCGGGGAUCUAUAAAAGACAGUCAAUGGAUGCAGUGCACCUGAACAGGACAUGGAAUUUAACUUUUCCUCUACGUUUGGGAGACACUGAGAAGUUGGUUUCCUACCCCUGGAGAGGGAGCUACUUUUGAGGGCAAAGGAUACAGGAAACUCCGAGGCCGACCUACGGGCCUACUGGUCUGUUUGGAUCUGAUGUUGGGAUACUCUAAGGACCCACUGUACAUGCGUUUGCCUUGCUUGUUCAAAUUUGGAAUGCCUCUUUAGGUCCCUCAUGACCGUGAGCCGUGCUAUACGGCUCGGCGGCGCCCCACCUCUGGAGUGGUCCGUCGCUGUUGCUGGGACUUUGUGAUUCCCCUCCUCGCCUCCCCCAUCCCGUCCCAUCCUGUCCCUCCCCUCCCCCUCCCCCUUUCCUCCCCCCUCUUCCCCCGCUCCCACGCGUCGCUGUGCUGGACGUCAUGAGCAUAGUAAUCGCGCUGGGAGUCACCACACCCGAAACGUCUUACUCAGAUAUGGCUGCUGGAUCAGACUGCAGAACCAUGGGUUGUAAUAAAUAUGCUU